ACCUGGACCAGUGACCUGAGAGUGGAGUUGGGGCUGCCUGGUAAACUGAAGGACUGGAGAAACAAGGUGGGAUUGGGCUCCUAAAUCCUUCAGGGCAGCUACGUGUUGAUUGCUUCUUGAGAAACGUCGAUGAACUGUACCGACUCCUGAAUCAUAUCCAGACAUCAGUUUGUCCAGGGCAAAGCGGUGCCAGGAACCAAGCAUUUUGCUCCAGAGCAUACCUGUAGCAGUUUGGCCUCCUUCUCCUGAGGAAAAAAUAAGAGCAGUGCUUAUAAAGGUAAUGAAAAAAUAGUCUGAAACACAGUGAGAAAUAAGGAGUACUUGUACUAUACAUACAUAACAUAUGUUUGAAAAAUUUUCUUCAGAGCUGUUUGUGAACUAUGUACUUUUCACCUUUAUUACCAAAUUCUUCAGUGUAAUAACAACGUUUACCAGAUGUCUGUAAGAUUUUGGUUCGUUUUGCUUUGUGCUUUUUUUUUUUUUCCUCUUUUUUUUUUCCCCAGACACCUUCACUUUUCAAUACUGAUUUUUCAUCUGAAUCAGUGUAACCUUUUCAGCUCAGAGCAGAUGGCAGAAGAGCUGUCACCGCUGGGUGGCAGCUGUGCACCUCCUGUCCCAGCCCCUGAGGGACCUCCGCGCUGCUGAGGGCCCUCAGCAAUGUGUGGCCUCCUACCGCCACCCCUCACAAACUGCUUUAAUUAAAGAAUGUAGGCAGGCCAGGGAAAACUCUCACAUCCAGAACCACAGAAUCCACAUCACGAACCUUCAGGUCCUGUUUACAAAGUAGGUGUACCAGACACACUUGGCUGUACCCCUGAGAUGGCUGUUGUUAAGAGGGUGGUCGUUCUGCAAAGGCCCUGUUUGUAGCCCUCAGAGAUGAGCUUAGCCCUGUUUUAGGCACCUGUACAUGAUGCAACCCACCUGUGUUUCCUGCUGAUCUCCUAUCUUGGUACCAGCAAUGUCAGCACUGAGUGCCAGUGUUGUGUCUUGGAUGUAGUUCUGACAUGAUGAAGGUUCAGAGUUCAGAAGGGUUAAUGCAAUUAAACUGUUCAAAGUGUCUAUUGGUUCCCAAUGCUUAAAUACUGGCCAUGCACCCUCCUGUUCUGUUAUCACAAUUUGGGCAGUUAACAGCAAGAGGUGUGAAAUUGCCACUGAAUGCAAGGAAGAGUUAUGCACAUCCAGGUAACAAGUUCUUUCUUCAUAGACUAGCUUCAGUGCAUAUGUCUUUUCUGCUUUUAAGAUCCUGCAGUAUCAGUUUUCUUGAGGCUUUUGGAAAACAGGGGUAUCUCUGUCACCCAGAAGUGCUGCAGAUGGCUGCUCAUUUGAAAAGAGAAGAGGAAGAAAUGUUUUUUUAAGCUCUGCUCUAGUCAGUAUUCAAUUGCACAAAGCCCUCACCCUGCUCCGGUAGCUAAAGUACUUCUUUAUAAAUACUGGGAAUCCACAUCCUCGUAGUCAGAGGAAUGAGCAGGAACUGUUCAUGAUAACCCAUCAUAGAUGCUAUAUUUUUUGUGUUUCAGCAACACAUUGCAUCAGGAUACAUAACUUUCUCACUUGCUAAUCCAGUCUCAUAGAAUCAUAGGAUGGCUUCGGUUGAAAGAGACCUUAAAGAUCACCAAGCUCCAACCACCCUGCCAUGGGCAGGGUUGCGAACCACUGAAUCAGACUGCCUGGG